AGUAGGCUUUCAACGUUCGCUGGCAAAGCAUCGAACGGACGCAAUCAUCGGCGGUAAAACGCACAACGCCGAUCAUGUCGUCUUCCGCAAAACGCGCCAGCGCAUCGACCAGCCCGGACUUCACGCCAGAGGGUAAAUCACACUGGGUAAUGUCGCCGUUCACGAUGACCGUCACGUUUUCCCCGAGGCGGGUU
rfam:Raoultella planticola strain GCSL-DIFS-295 CFSAN029441_contig1633, whole genome shotgun sequence.